CGCAUCUGUGCAUGCAGCAUAUCAAUAAGCGGAGGAAAAGAAACUAACAAGGAUUCCCCUAGUAACGGCGAGUGAAGCGGGAAGAGCUCAAAUUUGAAAUCUUAAAGGGUUUCCCUUUACGAAUUGUAGUUUAAAGAAGUGUUUUCUGUUGAGGUUUUGGUAAAAGUUCUUUGGAAUAGGACAUCAUAGAGGGUGAGAAUCCCGUAUUUGACCUUUACUUUCAACUUUGUGAUACACUUUCAAAGAGUCGGAUUGUUUGGGAAUGCAGUCCCAAAAUGGGUGGUAAAUUUCAUCUAAAGCUAAAUAUUGGCGAGAGACCGAUAGCGAACAAGUACCGUGAGGGAAGAUAAAAGAACUUUGAAAAGAGAGUUAAACAGUACGUGAAAUUGUCAAAAGGGAAGCGUUUGACACCAGUGUUGUUUUUCUGAAAAUCAAUUAAAGAACUGUUUAUGCUAAGCUGUUUAGACUUUAUCAGCUAUCUGUUUAGUUUUGAGCUUUUCUUUAAUGCACUUUUCAGUUAACAAGUCAACAUCAAUUUCUUUUGCUGUAAAAAAGCUUGAGGAAGGUGGCUUGAGAUUCGUCUUAAGUGUUUAUAGCCUCUUGCCUAUGCAGUCGGAGAGAUUGAGGUCUGCAGCGUAGAUCCUUCGGGGCUAAAUGCAUUUGUGCUAAGUUAUAACAUUUUAUAGACAACUUGUUGACUAUGAUUUGUCUUGUAGCUUACUCGCUUAUAUUAUUUUACCUACGCUUAGGAUGUUGAACGCGCACAGAGUCUC
rnacentral:rRNA from 1 species